rnacentral:rRNA from 1 species
UUCGCCUGUUUAUCAAAAAACAUAGCUUAUUGGAUUUUUAUAAUAAGUAUUUUCUGCUCAAUGCGUUAGUAGUAAAUAGCCGCAGUAUCUUGACUGUGCAAAGGUAGCAUAAUCAUUUGUCUUUUAAUUGGGGACUGGAAUGAAUGAAAAUAAGAAGCUAAUUCUGUCUUUUUUAUUUAGGUAUAAUUUGUUGUUUUUGUGAAGAAACAGUAUUUUUAAAAAAAGACAAGAAGACCCUAUUAAGCUUCACUUUUUGAAUGGUUUGUAGUUUCUUUUUUGAGAAUUGACUAAAAAUUUUUUUAAAGUUUAGUUGGGGCGACUAAAAAGGAUAAUUAUCCUCUUUUUGAGUUGACUUAUUGACUUUUUGGUUUGAUUUAAAGAUCCAAAAUUUUUGAUUUAGAGAAUGAGUUACUAUAGGGAUAACAGCGUAAUUUUUUUGGAGAGUUCUUAUUGAUAAAAAAGUUUGCGACCUCGAUGUUGACUUUUUAUUCCCUGUGUAGGUGCAGUAGUUGUUAAGGUUAGUCUGUUCGACUAUUAAAAUAAA